CAUCUUGCUGUGUUUUCCAGGCUGGACCUGAAUGAACUCCUGGGCUCAAUCAAUCCUUCCACCUCAGCCUAACAUUUACACUGGGAGCAGAGAUGCAUUUGGACAUAUAAACUGUUAACAUGAGGUAAGCGCCAAGGUCUAGAGAAGGCAGUGGAAGAGAUGGCAAACUCCGGCACCAUGUCUGCGUGUCCAGUGUGCUCUGCUGGAGCAGCACAUUUUUGUACAUUGCUGUAUUUGAAAAAACCCUGCAAGAAUCAUGAAACUGGACGACCAUCUUUAUAACACUCCCAGUGAUAAAACAAGUAAGAAUGGCUGGUUUGUAGUCAUCUGAGCAGCCUCUCUAGUUUCGUAGAUAUGGUUUCUCUCUGAUAUCGAACGACUUCCAAUGUCAAGCGGAAUGCUACAUCACAAGGAUAACCGUAUGUGAAAAGAACCAGUUUUCUUUGUAAUCCUGAACUUUCUAGUUUGCGCAUUAAAAGACAUUAUUUGAAGAAGAGCGCACAGGCUCCAGCUGGCCGCCAAAGGGGUCCUUGGCAUCACAGACUAAGAACCUACUUCUCUGGGAGAGACCAGGGGCGUGGAUGGGAGGGAAAAGAGGGAGAGGCAGGCGUCACUUCCUCCGCCGGCUCCCGCAGCGGGUUCAUCGGCUGAGGUGGCAGAGGGUGGGGCAGAAGAGCAGAGCCGGACCGGGAAAGGUGCUGUCGGUGACAUCACGGAUAGGGCGAUUCCUGUGUAGAUGAGGCAUCUCAGGGGCUGCUGCUUCGCCACGGAGGAUUUCUCCUGCUGUGGGAGCAAGUCCAGGACCGCCGGUUGGACGUGAUAGUCCCAGCUUUGGAUGGCUGGGGAACAGAAGUGGCAUGUCGUUGUCCUCGCUGGAGAAGGAACAAGCGUCAGCCGUUGUGAGCCUGUUUAUCACAAGUUAACUAGCGCGAAGGCUGCAUAGCUUUUCCCUUUGAACAUAAGGCUGCUUAUUGCAAAAAUUGAUCCAUGGUCUCCAGUCUCUUGGGGUCUCACGCUCUGUGAAAAUCUUCGUGUUUUCCCCUAGGCCCCUGUCACCUUUUACACAGCCUCUGUUUCAGGAUUUCUGUGCUAGCGAGGAAUCAGUUCUCACCUCAUAGAGCCAGGUGGAAACUACGCAGACAGGCACUCUUCUUUGGGAUGAAAGCAGGGCCUUUGGGGCUCUUAGUGUCCCCGUUCGGUUGUAGACAUAACACGCUUGCUUUGUGUAGGAGAACGGCUCUGCCAGCGCCCAGGUGUCCUAACGCAAUUCAUCGAGGCCCGCAGGUCAGAACCGCAGUCUCACUUGUCUUGGCGGAAAUGCGCUGCGAUCCUCCCUGCACUACAUGAACACGAGAAUUCCACUACAGAAGAAAACCCCAGUCCUAGUGAUGGCGGUUCUGGGCAUUUUGCCAGCCUCUCCCAGGGUGUGUUUUCUGACCCCACCCACUUCUGAUCUGUAAUGUCCUGGUCAAUAGAAACUACCUGGCCCAAACGGAAAAGGCAAGGAGGAACACAGCGGGAAAGCCUAUGGCGUUCCCUGGUGGCUACCCCGGGGACUGCACUCAUAGAUCCGCGUGUUCCGAGAAGCCUCUGCCAUCCCGACUAGGGUGCGGUGCAGAAACCCGCGGCUCCAAAGAAAACCGGCUAGAACGCACAGGAAGCCCAGCCAGUGUUCAGGACACUGCGAGUGGAAGCCAUACGUCCUACGGACUGAUCUAGUUUGAUGAAGACGAGCCAUUUACUUCUAACCCCAGCAGCGGACAUUGCCUUGCUCAAAUAUAAAAUAUAUGAACCAAGACGAAAGCAACUUUCAUUGCGUUACUAAUGAGCAAACGGGUUUUUAGAAUGGUUAAGAAAUGUCCCUUGUUUUGGGACCGUCAUCACUAACGUAUGCUUGGGAUUCCUGAUCGAGGAGUUUCUGAGCAAAGCAGCCCACCAAUCCAGUGGCUGAGAACGGCUUGGAUAUUGGCUUCCAGGCGCAUCAGAAAUACCGAGGUUCUGACAAAGACGUGAGCUUCUGUCUGCCUUUGGGAAGGCCUUCUUCCAGUACUGGCGCUGCCGCUUGCCUUCUGUUUGACCUGGGGCCAGGUCCUUCAAUUUGCUAGGCUUCAAGUUGGAAAGUGUUACAGGAAAAUAAUAAGACGAAGUACUUCUUAGAGUUAUUGCACAGAUUACAGAAGAUAGUCUAAUAGUACAGCUAGCAUCCUGUAUGGCUUACAUUAAGGAUUUGCUGAUAGGAAACAACAUCCCAGAUAAAGUUUUUUCCCCCUUAAUUAUGAAAUAUAACAAAGGAAAUUGUGUAGGCUUCUGCUUCAGGCCUCUGUAAAAUUUGAAUGAAUUUUGCACUUAUGAAGAUUACGUCCUUUUACAAAAUAAGUUAAUACUAAAGAAUGACAAACGGAAUUUACAAAACAAAUAUUAACAAAAAGAACUUGUUCUUAGCAGCUUUGUUUACAAUAGUCCCCAAACUGGAAACAGUUCAUAUGUAUCAAGAGGUUAAUGGACCUUUUGUGAUAUAUUCAUCCAAUGGAAUACCACCCUCAGUAAGAUGGGACAAAUUAUGGAAACAUGAGAUAACAUGGGUGAAUCUCAAAAGAGUGCAUUCUGUGUGGUGCCAUCAAGGUGAAUUUCUGGAACAGGUGAAACUAACCUGUAUAGUGGCAGAAAAUACAUCAUUAAUUGCUGGGGUCAGGGAGUCGAGGGGACUGACUGCAAAGGGCACAAGAGGACCUUCUGGAGUAGUAGACAUGUCAUCAAACUUGAAAUGGAUGUAUUGUACCAUAUUCAACCAAUGCCUUAAUCAAUUUGAUUGUAAAAAGUAGUAAGAAAACCACUGCAGGCCAGACGUGGUGGCUCACGCCUGUAAUCCUUGCACUUUGGGAGGCUGAGGCAGGCGGAUCACCUGAGGUCAGGAGUUUGAAACCAGCCUGGCCAACAUGGAGAAACCCCAUCUCUACUAAAAAUACAAAAAAAAUUAGCUGGGUGUGAUGUAGACGCCUGUAAUCCCAGCUACUCAGGAGGCUGAGGCAGGAGAAUCUCUUGAACCUGGGAGUGGAGGUUGUAGCAUGUGGAGAUCGCGCCACUACACUCCAGCCUGGGUGACAGAGCAAGUGAUGCUGCUCUAAAAAAAAAAAAAAAAGAAAAAGAAAAAGAAAACAAAAGAAAAAGAAAAA